rnacentral:rRNA from 1 species
GAAGAGAUUCGGGAGUUCUGGAAAGAGAACCGGCGCACAGGUGGUGCAUGGCUGUCGUCAGCUCGUGUCGUGAGAUGUUGGGUUAAGUCCCGCAACGAGCGCAACCCUUGUCCUUAGUUGGUACGCAAGAGCACUCUAAGGAGACUGCCGGUGACAAACCGGAGGAAGGUGGGGAUGACGUCAAGUCCUCAUGGCCCUUAUGGGUAGGGCUUCACACGUCAUACAAUGGUCGGAACAGAGGGUUGCCAACCCGCGAGGGGGAGCUAAUCCCAGAAAACCGAUCGUAGUCCGGAUUGCACUCUGCAACUCGAGUGCAUGAAGCUGGAAUCGCUAGUAAUCGCGGAUCAGCA